rnacentral:rRNA from 1 species
UACGGAGGGGGCUAGCGUUGUUCGGAAUUACUGGGCGUAAAGCGCACGUAGGCGGCUUUGUAAGUUAGAGGUGAAAGCCCAGGGCUUAACCCUGGAAUUGCCUUUAAGACUGCAUCGCUCGAAUUGUGGAGAGGUGAGUGGAAAUUCCGAGUGUAGAGGUGAAAAUUCGUAGAUAUUCGGAAGAACACCAGUGGCGAAGGCGACUCACUGGACACAUAUUGACGCUGAGGUGCGAAAAGCGUGGGGAGCAAACAGG